AAGGGCCGGCUGCUUUCUGCUUAUUAGAUGUGCUGAACUGAGAAGGCAGAACAGAGAAAGUUGAUUUCAACAGCCCGUAUCAACAGUUCCAGAAACUCUUUUUGCGAAACCCUCCCUGCCGGGAAGGGAGAAAAUAAACCACUGGACCCAGGGUUCUGAGUCACAUCUGCCCCUACCCAGCACCAUGAAGUCCGGCGGGCUCUUGCCGGUGGCCGUUAUCCUCGUCCUGGGGAUCCUUCAGUUAUCCUGGGCUCAACGGGGAAGCUGCCCUCUUGACCACAAUCACUGCAUCCUACCUGUGCCGAACCAAUGCAAGGCGGACCAGGAUUGUUCAAGAGGGUACAAAUGCUGCUACUUUCACUGUGGCCUGAAGUGCGUGAUUCCUCGGAGAAGUAAGGCUGGGCAGGACCCCUAUGGCCACAGUUUGGCCAUGUUUCGGGCCUCUGCCGAAAGGCCGGGCUGGAGGUGGGGAAUCCGGUGGGCGGCCAAAGGGCAGAGACCACCUGCCCCCUGGGAUUUGACAAGUAGGGGUCUGGGCUUGGGAGUCGGAGGUCAUGGGUUCUAAUCUCGGCUCUGCUGCUUGUCAGCUGGGUGUCCUUGGGCAAGUCACUUCACUUCUCUAUGCCUCAGUUACUUCAUCUGUCAAAUGGGGAUGAAGACUGUGAGUCCUACAUGGGACAACCUGAUGACCCGGGCAGUGUUUGGCACAUAGUAAAUGCUUGACAAAUACCAACAUUAUUAUUCUGAUUAUUCUGUGGGGAGCAUGUCAGGAAGGAGGCCCUAAGACCCUCUCACCCUUCAACCGCUCCUUCACAGCUGAACUUCCCCUUGACUCUGAGGCACCCCGGGGGAUCCCCCUGCCUCAGUAAAUCAUUUGAUCAAUCAAUUGAUCAUAUUUUCAUCGUGUUCUGUACCCAAGGGGACAACCUGGGGUGGGGCUACUGUCCUUCCCCCCCUUCCCCUCCCCCAGACUGACCAGGCCCCGGGCAGGGGUGAGGGGGGUGGGGACGGGGGGCCGCUCUGAGCCUGUGCCUUGGGCGCCCGCAGAUGUGAUAAAAAAGGGGAGAUGUCCCGUGGUGAACAUCCGCUGCGCCAUGCUCAACCCUCCUAACCGCUGCCUGAAGGAUUCCGACUGUCCCGCCAGGAAGAUAUGCUGCGAGGGAGCCUGCGGGAAGGCCUGCGUCACCCCAGAAAGAAGUAAGAGGUUGGGACACCUGGCUGAAACGGCCAGGCCGGGGCCCGGAGGGAAGUGGGAAGAGAGAGCUGGAGGGAAUAGAGAUGCCGAGCUUCAUUCAUUCAGUCAGUCAUAUUUAGUGAGCGCUUACUGUGUGCUGAGCACUGUACUAAGUGUUUGGGACAGUACAAUAGAACAAUAUACAGACACAUUCAUUCAUCCAAUAGUAUUUAUUGAGUGCUUACUAUGUGCAGAGCACUUUACUAAGCACAUGGAAUGUACAAUUCUGCAAUAGAUAGAGGCAAUCCCUGCCCAAUGAGGGGCUCACAGUCUAAACAGGGUAGAUCAAUCAAGGGCUUACUGAGUGCAGAGCACUGUACUAAGGGCUUUGGAGAGGACAGUAGAACAAUUAACAGACACAUUCCCUGCUCACAAUAACCUUAGAGUCUAGACGGGGAGACAGACAUGAACAGAUAUAAAUACAUUCAUUCCAUCGUAUUUAUUGAGCGCUUACUGUGUGCAGAGCACUGUACUAAGUGCUUGGAAUGUACAAUUAGGCAACAGGUAGAGAUAAUCCCUGCCCAACAACGGGCCGGGGAGAUAGGCAACAAAACAAAGCAGAACAAAACAAGUAAUCUGGCAUAAAUAUCAUCAAGAUAAAUAGAAUCAUGACAGCUAUGCAGGGCUGAGAAGGUCAGGAAAGGGGAGAGAAAAGGGGGCUAGGCCCAGGGCUCUGAUCUCUUUCUCUACAGAUUGAGCGGUUGCGGUUGAGAUGUCUGCAGCUCUAAGGCCCAACAGGACUCCUGCCCGGCUCCCUGCCCCCGGACCACCCCUCUCUGUCUCUCCCUGACUUUCGAGGGGUGGGCGAGACAGGGAGGGGGUCUUACCCUUGCCCCUCCUGCUGGAGCAACUGCUUUCUCUAUCUGGAACCAAUAAACAAACCCCAUCUCCCCCCAGCCCCAGCAGCCUGCCUGUGACUUUGCUUUUUGGGUGGCUCCUUCU
rnacentral:lncRNA from 1 species